ACUCUAGCCGCAAGCCAUUAUCACUCUCGACAUUUCCCAUUUUCCCUCACUGCCCCACUGCCAUCUUCUCCUCCAGUCCGCCUCUCACCACACCAGUCUCCAGACACCUUCACUGCCUCACUUCUCAUUCUUCACAGAUUUGAGAUCUGAGUCUUCACACCUUAGAGUCACAACCACUAAUCGUCGGUCCCCCUUGCCACCAAUUAAGCAAGUUUGCUCUGCCCUACACGCAUAGCCUAUACACUCUAACAAAUACAAGCUGAACUAUAGCAUCAAAGGUGUCAAAUGAAAUGACUGAUCGAAAUCCUACACAAAAGGAUAUUCAAAGUAGACACACAUGGAACAAAAGUGAAGUUGUGACUAUUCAAUUGAAAAGGAGACGACCAAACACAUGGUUGGAGGUAUGAGACUACUUCACCAAAUUUACUAAUGAUAAAGGCAAUGCAAUCAUGGUUCAUUGGUGUGCACUUUGCACCUCAAUCAGGAAAGAAAGAAUAUUGUUGUUGUCUGCUGGAUAAAUUAAUGUUAUUUGAGAUUUGAAUUUUAUGGAUUGUAAUUGGUUGAUGUUGGAUAAAUUAAUGUUGUUUAAGACUUGAAUUUUAUGGACUGUAAUUGGCUAAUUACACUAUGUUAUUUAAGUUUGUGUUUAUGUUAUAUUGUAUUUGUGUUUUUAUUUGAGUAUUGUUAACAAUAUUUGGACUUAUUGGAUUAUGUGUUGAACACAGGAAACCA